UUAAACAUAAAUAAAAUAAAAUUUCAUAAUAUGAAUUUUCUUUUACAAAUCUAAAAUACAACAGAAUAGUUUAAGGAUAUAAGUAGAGUUACAAGUUUACAGUCAUUCAAAAUUGACCAUAAAUUUAAACUUUACAUAUAUAGGAGUCUUUCAAAAUAUAAAGAUUACAGUUAAGGAGAAGCCUAAGAACUAGGGGUGCCUCAUCUCCCUCCAAAGCUUGCUCCAAAGGCAUCUCAUCUACCUUUGCUCACAUCCAAGUAGAUGAUCAUUGCAAAAGGAAGAACAUAGACAUACAAGACAAUCACAAACAACAAGGAUAAGCUAGGUUGAAAAGCAUACAUGUUAUUCUAUAAGAUUGACAUAUAAAAUCACAAGUCAUACAAGCAUGUAAGUAAAUCAUCAUAUCAUAUUAUAACACAUGACUAGACACGUCCAGACUUAGAAUGAAUAUCGAUCUAGGGCGGGUUGUGCACUUGUGGUGGCCUCUACUGCUUUGCAAAGUCAUUGCCAAUGGGUUUCACCUUACCACACACAAGGUUAGUCUAUUACCGCGCAAUAAGCGUCCAAGUAACACCUACACUAGGACCUCCUACUACUCUCACCACAUGCAUCAAUCCUCUCUAAGGGAGAAUGAAAGACCAUUAGAGUGUUAGGAUAACCCCCAUGAAAAAGUCUCAUAUAUUCAUUCUAAACAUUAAAGUGAUUUCACCAAGAGAUCUUACUUUCAUACUCCAUUUCAUUACUUUCAACACAACAUCUAUCCAGUUUAAAGCAUCAACAUACCAUUUCUCCUUUUAUAAUUACAUUGAAUACUAUAUCAAACCAUACAUGUAUCAUACAUCAUCAACCAACCAAGAAAAAAAAAGAAAAGGGUAAACCAGGGCGAAGUAAGUCGCUCAACGCACAUGGUUGCAAGGCAAGACAGCAAAAAUUUGCACAGCGCACCACCUUUGGUGCGUUGAGCAAAUUUUUCUGACAGGGGAGGCAAGGCAUGACAACAUAAAUUCGCACAGCGCACCACCCUUGGUGCACUGAGCGAAUUUUCCUAACAGGGAAGCCUUUCAGCUAAAAUUUUCAUAGUGCACAGGGUACGCUAUGCGACUCUGCAUAAUCUACAGAACGAAUUUUUGCAGAUUUCAAGCAAUCACCACUCCAUAACUCGUUCUAAACCUCUUGCCCAACUUCUAAUGAUCAUAGAUCGUAGUAUAAGCCUAAUUGAACUUGCUUAAAUGAUUCUAACCCUUUCUAAUCUUAUUCUCUAAUAUUUAUGCAUUUAUAUACACUCUCCAACUUCAAUUUUAUUAACCUAGAGGCCUAAAUCUAAAUUUACCACUUAAAACUAGUUCUUGCCCAUUUUAACACUUCUAACAAGUCACAAUUAACUCACCUAAACUGUUUCACACGUCUAAUUCAGUCCAUGACCCCUAACUCUCAAAACCACUACCUCACUUCCUCCAAUAUAGCCUAAACACCAUAACCAACUUAACUUUUUGUCUAGCAACCUGCAUAACAUGAUUCAUUGCAUUCAAACACUCAAAUACAACAUCACACCUUGCCCAUACCAGAUUCUAAAUCAUAGAUUCACAGUCCCAUAAUUCACACAUCAAGUAACACAUGUUCUAACAUAUAACUUCAUCCAAUCUCAGCUCAAACAACAAUAGGACACCAAAACAGUUUCACAUACACAUUGUUUCACAAUUUCAAACAUAAUUAUAAGUCAUGCAACUAUAAUUCACUAAACAGAAAAUAAAAACCCAGCUUCCCUUACCUUAGAGUUUGAACAGAACAGUAGAUUGAUGAUGCCUUAACAGUACCUCUCACAGCGAAAAUCACAAGGUCCUACAAAAUCACCAAAUUGGUGAUAGAAACUGCUUUUAGAACUAAGUUUGAGCAUAAAACAGAAAAAAGAAACCAUCAAACACGUGCAACCAGCAGAGGUUGCAUGUCUAGGUUUAAGAACAGUGACAAAAGGGCAAGAACAGCUUACCCACUAAAAUCAGAAAUCAAUCGGAUGGUUAGAGAGCCCUUGAUUCCGAGAAUGCAGGAACACUACCUAAUCAACAAUGUAACGGUGAAAUGAGAAGAUAUGGUAGAGAGAAGAUAGAGAAAGAAGGAAGAGAAGCUUUCUAGAGAGGGAAUGAGUUUUUAGAAGAAAUGAU
rnacentral:lncRNA from 1 species